rnacentral:rRNA from 1 species
AGUUUGAUCCUGGCUCAGAUUGAACGCUGGCGGCAUGCUUUACACAUGCAAGUCGAACGGUAACAGGCCUUCGGGUGCUGACGAGUGGCGAACGGGUGAGUAAUGCAUCGGAACGUGCCCAAUCGGUGGGGGAUAACGUAGCGAAAGUUACGCUAAUACCGCAUAAGCCCUGAGGGGGAAAGUGGGGGACCGCAAGGCCUCACGCGAAUGGAGCGGCCGAUGUCAGAUUAGCUAGUUGGUGGGGUAAAGGCCCACCAAGGCGACGAUCUGUAGCGGGUCUGAGAGGAUGAUCCGCCACACUGGGACUGAGACACGGCCCAGACUCCUACGGGAGGCAGCAGUGGGGAAUUUUGGACAAUGGGCGCAAGCCUGAUCCAGCCAUGCCGCGUGCGGGACGAAGGCCUUCGGGUUGUAAACCGCUUUCAGCCGGAAAGAAAUCGCCGUUUUUAAUACAGACGGUGGAUGACGGUACCGGAAGAAGAAGCACCGGCUAACUACGUG